CCCCUACAAGAUGAAGAACUCAUGGAGUACAUCCUCACCGACCUCGACCUUGACUUCAUGCCCUUGGUGUCCGCCCUUGUUGCAAGACCAGAUUCAUUUUCUGUAAGUGAGCUGUAUGCACAAUUGCUCGCUUUCGAAA